rnacentral:rRNA from 1 species
UACGUAGGGUGCGAGCGUUGUCCGGAAUUAUUGGGCGUAAAGAGCUUGUAGGCGGUUUGUCGCGUCUGCCGUGAAAAUCCGGGGCUCAACCCCGGACUUGCGGUGGGUACGGGCAGACUAGAGUGUGGUAGGGGAGACUGGAAUUCCUGGUGUAGCGGUGAAAUGCGCAGAUAUCAGGAGGAACACCGAUGGCGAAGGCAGGUCUCUGGGCCACUACUGACGCUGAGACGCGAAAGCGUGGGGAGCAAACAGG